UCCCUGGUGGCUCAGUGGUAAAGAAUCUGCCUGCCAAUUAGGAGACACGGGUUCGAUCCCUGGUCUGGGAA
rnacentral:tRNA from 1 species